UACAGAGGUCUCAAGCGUUGUUCGGAUUCAUUGGGCGUAAAGGGUGCGUAGGCGGCGGGGUAAGUCUGGUGUGAAAUCCCGGGGCUCAACCUCGGAACUGCACUGGAUACUGCCUUGCUAGAGAUCUGGAGAGGAAACUGGAAUUUACGGUGUAGCAGUGAAAUGCGUAGAUAUCGUAAGGAAGACCAGUGGCGAAGGCGAGUUUCUGGACAGAUUCUGACGCUGAGGCACGAAGGCCAGGGGAGCAAACGGG
rnacentral:rRNA from 1 species